CUUCAGAUCGUACCUUCAAAAAUUUCCCAGAAUGAGCAAUUGUGGUUGUGAGACCUCACAGACCAACUGAACCCGCCAUGGAGGUUGCGCCGGUGAGGAGCGAUUGAAGGUCGAUUGUGGCCGGCGGAGAAACUGUGGUUUUGUGAGGGUGCUCGUUGGAGGUAGAAAAUGAGGGUGUGGAGCGUGUGGGUUCGCGGUCGAAGGAGGAGAAGAUGUGCGUAUUUGGAGGUUUGGAAGGAUUCGUUGGAAGGAGAAGAAGAUGAAGCUGAGUUUGAUGCGUCCCGUCUCCAGAUAAGCCUCCUUCUUCUGUUUCGUUUUUUUUAGGGUUUUGAAAAAAAGCUUUGCUGUGUUUAUAAUUGCUAUGUUUACUGUUGUGUUUUUUUAGUUUCUUUUGAAAGAAUCUCUUACUGUGAUGUGUAUCUCUUGUUGUGUUUUCUAUUGUUGUUUUGGUUUCUGUUUUUUUUAAUGUCUCUUACUGUGAUCUGUUGUUCUUAACGCCUCAUGAACCUUUUAUGAAGAAUUUUUAUCAGUUUUUUUUAACUCCUUUCUUUUUCGAUUUUCCCAUCCUAGAUUAUAUGGGAUUUAAUUUCUGUGGAUUUGUUCUGUUUUAAGUUAUUAUUGCAAUGCCUUUUUGGAUGUUCAAGUUAACCUGCUGGGUAAAGUUUCAAACUGAGUAAUUUGUUUAGUUAUUUUUUAGUGCUUUUAAAAAGUGCUUUUUAUUUAAGCUGUUUUUUCUCUCUGCAGGUUACAACGUGAAGUGACUUGAUGGAAUGGAAGGUUGGAUCCACUCUAUGAGGCAAUUGGAUUUAGGAGCGUUUUGGCCUGAAGAAAGGUUUUGGCCGUUGGUUCUUCAAAAGCUUUGUUCUCAACCUGUCAUUGUUGCAACAACUUUUAUUUGGAUUUGUAUUGUGGAUAAUUAUGCAACUGUUCUUGAAUGGUUUGUAACGUGUGAAGUUUUUUUUAAAAAAAAUGUUUAUGUAAUUAAUUUUCUUUUUGUUUAAAAACAACUAAAUUUUAUUUUAA